UACGGGGGGAGCAAGCGUUGUUCGGAUUUACUGGGCGUAAAGAGCGCGUAGGCGGCCAGCACAAGUCAGUUGUGAAAUCUCCGAGCUUAACUCGGAAAGGUCAACUGAUACUGUGCGGCUAGAGUGCAGAAGGGGCAACUGGAAUUCUUGGUGUAGCGGUGAAAUGCGCAGAUAUCAGGAGGAACACCAAUGGCGAAGGCAGCACUCUGGGACGUGACUGACGCUGAGACGCGAAAGCGUGGGGAGCAAACAGG
rnacentral:rRNA from 1 species